UACGUGUGGUCUGCAGUUCUUGCUCCU
rnacentral:piRNA from 1 species